UCGAGAAUAAUUCGCAAUGGACGAAAGUCUGACGAUGCGACGCCGCAUGAACGAUGAAGGCCUUCGGGUUGUAACGUUCUGUUGCCCUAGAACAAGAGUGACUGACGAAUAGGUGGUCACGAUGAGGGUAUAGGGAGAGGAAGCACCGGCUAAUUCCGUGCCAGCAGCUGCGGUAAUACGUAGGGGGCGAGCGUUAUUCGGAAUUACUGGGUGUAAAGGGUAUGUAGGCGGCCCUUCAAGUCGCUUGUCAAAGUCCAGUGCUCAACGCUGGGUGUGCGCGCGAUACUGACGGGCUUGAGGGCUGGAGAGGUGAGCGGAAUUCCCGGUGUAGUGGUAAAAUACGUAGAGAUCGGGAGGAACACCAGCGGCGCAGGCGGCUCACUAGACAGUUUCUGACGCUAGGAUACGAAAGCGUGGGGAGCAAACA
rnacentral:rRNA from 1 species